rnacentral:rRNA from 1 species
AAUGAACGCUGGCGGCGUGCUUAACACAUGCAAGUCGAACGAGGCGGAGGGGGCAACCCCUCCAGUCGAGUGGCGGACGGGUGAGUAACACGUGGGUAACCUGCCCGGAAGUGGGGAACACCUCGGGGAAACGUCGAGCUAAUACCGCAUGACAUCUUCGGGACGAAAGUCCUGACGAUCAAAGCGGGGCCGCAAGGCCUCGCGCUUCCGGAUGGGCCCGCGCCCGAUUAGCUAGUUGGCGAGGUAACGGC